AUAAUGUAAAAAAUUUUUUUAUACAAAAAAAUAAUAACUAAAAAUUGUACAAUUGAUAAAAAAAAUUAAAUUUAAUAAACAUCAUCUCCUUGGAGAUUUACCAGACAAAAUGGUAAAUCAUCUUGUUGAAAACGACGACAAUGAUGAAGACAUCCACAUGGUAGUUCAAUUAAAAUUGGCUUUUCUUCCUGUCACAAC